UUGACAGAGAGGAGCAAGGAGGGGUGAAACCCCAACUUCACAAAAUCCACAAGAAUUACUAGAAAUCUUAAGGAAAUCGAAAGAAUAAUCAUCAAAUUCUAAGCUCCUACACCUGUUCUUUGAAGUGGAACGUGUCAAGGAGAGCUCAAGCAUAGGAGGAUAACGGGUCAAGAUAAGGCAAGGUGACAAAUACACUUAUUGGAAUACUCAAGGUUAUGAAUGUCGGACUUUCGAAGUGUUGAUAUAAUAAUGAAACGGUUGAAUGUUGAAAGGAUAAUCGGAUUGAAGUAACUUAUGCGGUAAAUCCUCAAUUUUGGCGACUUGGAGAAUCGGAGCGAGCGCGUGUUCGUGUUAUGCGAUACCAAACGCUUCCGCUAGCUUGUUCAAAUGUUUUUGAUCCAAAAUUUGUUGUAUUGGUUUUUAGUAGUAUCUUGUUGAACGAAUUGUAGAAUUGUAUCUAGUUUGUUUAUGU
rnacentral:lncRNA from 1 species